AAUGAACGUUGGCGGCAUGGAUUAGGCAUGCAAGUCGGGGGAAUCCCAGCAAUGGGGGAACCGGCGUAAGGGGCAGUAAGGCAUGGGUACCUACCUUGGGGUUCGGGAUAGCCAUCAGAGAUGGUGGGUAAUACCGGAUGACGUCGUGAGACCAAAGAUUUAUCGCCCUUAGAGGGGCCCAUGUGAUAUUAGCUAGUUGGUGGGGUAACGGCCCAUCAAGGCGAAGAUGUCUAGCGGGUGUGAGAGCACGACCCGCGCCACUCGCACUGAGACACUGGCGAGACACCUACGGGUGGCUGCAGUCGAGGAUCUUCGGCAGUGAGCGCAAGCUUGACCGAGCGAUGCCGCGUGAGCGAUGAAGGCCUUCGGGUUGUAAAGCUCUUUAGUGGGGGAGAAAAGCCGCAAGGUGUGAUCUAUCCCAAAAAUAAGCACGGGCUAAGUUCGUGCCAGCAGCCGCAGUAA
rnacentral:rRNA from 1 species